rnacentral:rRNA from 1 species
UACGGAGGGUGCAAGCGUUAUCCGGAUUUACUGGGUUUAAAGGGUGCGUAGGUGGGUCUGUAAGUCAGUGGUGAAAUCUCCGAGCUUAACUCGGAAACUGCCAUUGAUACUAUAGAUCUUGAAUUAUCUGGAGGUAAGCGGAAUAUGUCAUGUAGCGGUGAAAUGCUUAGAUAUGACAUAGAACACCAAUUGCGAAGGCAACUUACUACGGAUCGAUUGACACUGAGGCACGAAAGCGUGGGGAUCAAACAGG